rnacentral:rRNA from 1 species
CNGNNCAAGCANNGNAGUAUGUGGUUAAUUCGAAGCAACGNGAAGAACCUUNCCAGGUCUUGACAUCCAACUNACGAGGCAGAGAUGCAUUAGGUGCCCNUUCGGGGAAAGUUGAGACAGGUGGUGCAUGGUUGUCGUCAGCUCGUGUCGUGAGAUGUUGGGUUAAGUCCCGCAACGAGCGCAACCCUUGUGAUUAGUUGCUACGCAAGAGCACUCUAAUCAGACUGCCGUUGACAAAACGGAGGAAGGUGGGGACGACGUCAAAUCAUCAUGCCCCUUAUGACCUGGGCUACACACGUACUACAAUGGUCGCCAACAGAGGGAAGCCAAACCGCGAGGUGGAGCAAACCCCCAAAAGCGAUCUCAGUUCGGAUUGUAGGCUGCAACCCGCCUACAUGAAGUUGGAAUUGCUAGUAAUCGCGGAUCAGCAUGCCGCGGUGAAUACGUUCCCGGGCCUUGCACACACCGCCCGUCACACCAUGGGAGCCGGUAAUACCCGAAGCCAAUAGUCUAACCGCAAGGAGGACGUUGUCGAAGGUAGGAUUGGCGACUGGGGUGAAGUCGUGACAAGGUAGCCGUAUCGGAAGGUGCGGCUGGAUCACCUCCUU